rnacentral:lncRNA from 10 species
AUUCAAAACUCAUUUUGAGCCUCUUUUAUAUUAAGAUUGGUUUUUUCCAUUUAUUAAAUUUAUUUAUGCAAGAGUUAACAAAAGCUGUUUACUUGGAGUCUUAAACAGUGUAUAAUGUUUUCAGUGUGUUGAAUAAUUUUUGUUAUCUUUGCCUUUGAAUUAUUGUGGGAUAAAAAGACAGAACAGACUAGUCAGCUGGCCUAACUCCUUCUUGGAAAUUUAUAGUUAAUUUCUGGUCCUACACUGACCAUCUGUGCCCGAAUAUCCAACGUAGAUGUUUUCAAAAACAGUUUCUGCUCUAUCAAAACAAGAGUUCAUGAUUCACUUUCAGACUUUGUUCUUUCAACUAACUUGUUUGUUCAGGAAAACAGAUUUCCAAGACUUGCACACACAGCAGGAUCUCUGUGCCCUGUUUUUACUCCUGGGUUGCUCAGAUGACACGUCUUUUGGUCCAUAAAACACAUGUUAGAGAUAAUAGAUAAUUGGAGGAAAGCACAAUAAUCUUGUGACUGUUUUUUCCAAAGAUUCACCAGCCUCUGCCUAGGAAAAGCGCAGGCAUAUAAAAAGACCCUGUGCCCAUGAACAGGAGCUUUUUAUCAUCACCCAGUCUGGAGGGAGGCCAGAAUGCCUCUCUCUGUGUAUCUCUUUUGCCUGGACCUGAGAACAUGUCAGCAUUUCAAUGCAUUUAUCCAGGUUCCAUUCCCAUUUUUCCCAUUUUCCUCUAAACAGGCUGCCUCUACUCUCCAAGUUGACUCCAUUCAAUCUCUUGCGGCUGCUGCUUCCCUAACUCUGAGUCCUUGCCUUCUGCUACAUUUGGUUACAAUUAACGUCCAGCUUGUCUUCUAGACCUCACCUGCUCUGGGCUCUGGACCCAGGAUGGAGUAAGUACCUACACAGAAGGCAUAUAAGAAGAAAGCAAGGAAGAACAGAACAACUUGAAAGAACAAAAAGGAGAUGCAGAAGGUGUUUGGGGGUUGGGAGGGGUCAACUGGAAGAUUAAAUAAAUAUUCUAGCUGGGCGUGGUGGCUCACGUCUGUAAUCCCAGCACUUUGGGAGGCCGAGGCAGGCAGAUCACCUGAGGUUGGGAGCUGGAGACCAGCCUGGCCAGCAUGGUGAAACCCCAUCUCUACUAAAAAUACAGAAAUUAGCUGGGUGUGGUGGCAGGCGCCUGUAAUCUCAGCUACUCAGGAGGCUGAGGCAGGAGAAUCGCUUGAACCUGGGAGGCAGAGGUUGCAGUGAGCCAAGAUCGCACCAUUGCACUGCAGCCUAAGCAACAAGAGAAAAACUCCAUCUUAAAAAUAUAAAUAAAUAAAUAAAAUAAAUAAAUAUUCUGCUACUGUAGAUGAAGGAGUGGUUGUUAAGAUGAGCCACUGGCUUUCACAUUAUGCCUUCUCUCCUUUUUUAAAUGUUCCUAUGUCUACACAUUAACAGCCAAUUUGUAUUUUAGUGCAUUCAAUUUAAUCUCCCAACAUGAACAUCAAUCAUCAAUAUGCUACACCUCACUCUAUAACCAAAUCAACCGGGGUAAAAAAAAAAAAGUCAAUUUACUGCCAAUAAUAUAAGGAUCAGAGUCAUGGUUAAAACUCAAGAUCUGCAAAUAAGGGCUGUGACCACUACCUAAAGGACAUUCUUUAUGCACCUGUACGACAUUAGGGCUGUCAGGUGCCUCACCUGACAGGUACAGCCACACCUGUACCCAGGAAUUAAUCCGUGUCCAAGGUAUCAUUUUUCAGUGCCAGAAUUAGUUCGUCUAUAAGACUGAAUGUGUGAUGCCUACAGAUCUCUCUUACCAGAAUAGUACUUUUGUCAUUGAUACGUGAAGUAUAAAUACAAAUGUGUGGCGUGGCUGGCAUUGGUUUAUUGAUUUUGGAUGGUUCUAGCUCCUUCGGAGGUCAUUUCCUGAGUAAUCCCAUCUGGAAAAUGUAAUUUGCCAUUCACUAGUCACCACAGUUUGGAUUGCUGUAAUGACCUACUUGGGAUGAAAGAAAAGGUCUUUCCAUUUCUAUUCAAUACCUGGAUUCCUUUCAACAAUAAUAGAUACACAGCUUUAUUACCCUUUCCCAACUGGCCAGCAUCGGAGGUGACAAACACCCCAGCUGUCAGUGGUACAGACAAGAUUCUCUCCUUCCCCAGAUGAGCUAGCUCUUAUAAGCCUAAAGCCAUGUCCUCCCCUGGCUCUUAGGUCUGUCUUGGGAGAUGGCCAUCAAUGUGUCCUUCUAAAAAUACAGAAUUACUAACAGUUUGGUUUUGUGUCAUUGAUCCAUGGAGAAAGCGAUGGAAAUUAUAGGUUAGUAUUUACAUGAAUAAAAUAUUUUGAAAUAACCUGAAUAGUAUGCUUUCCCCUGUCACAUUCUUAGAGAAGUUAAUAAAGACUCAUGAAGAUAUUGCAACAAUUGAAAGCAGACUUGGGGUUUGUUUUCAAUAGCAAAAGAUAGGUAGAUGAAAAUUGGAAUUUACAACUCAAGCAGUAUUUCUGAGCCUUAGCAUGUGAUGAGAGUAUGCCACACUGAAUUGCUUAGAAGAGGCGUAAGGGGAAGAAGAGAGGGCUAACCACUGAAACAUGAGAGGUUUGUUGUUGUUG